rnacentral:rRNA from 1 species
UACGUAGGUGGCAAGCGUUGUCCGGAUUUACUGGGCGUAAAGAGCGCGCAGGCGGUUGGAUAAGUCGAAUGUGAAAGCCCCCCGGCUCAACUGGGGAGGGUCAUUCGAUACUGUCCGACUCGAAGGCAGGAGAGGGAAGCGGAAUUCCGGGUGUAGCGGUGGAAUGCGUAGAGAUCCGGAAGAACACCGGUGGCGAAGGCGGCCUGCUGGGCAGUAGCUGACACUGAGGCGCGACAGCGUGGGGAGCAAACAGG